rnacentral:rRNA from 1 species
UGGGGAAUUUUGGACAAUGGACGCAAGUCUGAUCCAGCCAUGCCGCGUGCGGGAAGAAGGUCUUCGGGUUGUAAACCGCUUUUGUCAGGGAAGAAACGAGUUUCUCUAAUACAGAGACUUAAUGACGGUACCUGAAGAAUAAGCACCGGCUAACUACGUGCCAGCAGCCGCGGUAAUACGUAGGGUGCAAGCGUUAAUCGGAAUUACUGGGCGUAAAGCGUGCGCAGGCGGUUAUAUAAGACAGAUGUGAAAUCCCCGGGCUCAACCUGGGAACUGCAUUUGUGACUGUAUAGCUAGAGUACGGCAGAGGGGGAUGGAAUUCCGCGUGUAGCAGCGAAAUGCGUAGAUAUGCGGAGGAACACCGAUGGCGAAGGCAAUCCCCUGGGCCUGUACUGACGCUCAUGCACGAAAGCGUGGGGAGCAAACA